UGNANAAAACCGCGGGACGNGUAGAANUAACCNNGUGGGUAACCCUGCCCUGUUACNCCCCGNAUNANCAUACCCGAAAGGGUAUUCUUAUUNCGGGAUAACCAUACCGAAAAUUCGCAUGGCUUUUUGUAUCAAAAGCUUCCGGCCGGUACAGGAAUGNACCCGCGUCUGAUUAGCUAGUUGGUAAGGUAAUGGCUUACCAAGGCAACGAUCAGUAGCCGACCUGAGAGGGUGAUCGGCCACACUGGAACUGAGACACGGUCCAGACUCCUACGGGAGGCAGCAGUGGGGAAUAUUGCACAAUGGGCGAAAGCCUGAUGCAGCAACGCCGCGUGAGCGAUGAAGGCCUUCGGGUCGUAAAGCUCUGUCCUCAAGGAAGAUAAUGACGGUACUUGAGGAGGAAGCCCCGGCUAACUACGUGCCAGCAGCCGCGGUAAUACGUAGGGGGCUAGCGUUAUCCGGAAUUACUGGGCGUAAAGGGUGCGUAGGUGGUUUUUUAAGUCAGAAGUGAAAGGCUACGGCUCAACCGUAGUAAGCUUUUGAAACUAGAGAACUUGAGUGCAGGAGAGGAGAGUAGAAUUCCUAGUGUAGCGGUGAAAUGCGUAGAUAUUAGGAGGAAUACCAGUAGCGAAGGCGGCUCUCUGGACUGUAACUGACACUGAGGCACGAAAGCGUGGGGAGCAAACAGGAUUAGAUACCCUGGUAGUCCACGCCGUAAACGAUGAGUACUAGGUGUCGGGGGUUACCCNGAAUCGGUGCCGCAGCNANCUCAUUAA
rnacentral:rRNA from 1 species